rnacentral:rRNA from 1 species
GAUGAACGCUGGCGGCGUGCCUAAUACAUGCAAGUCGAGCGAACAGACGAGGAGCUUGCUCCUCUGACGUUAGCGGCGGACGGGUGAGUAACACGUGGAUAACCUACCUAUAAGACUGGGAUAACUUCGGGAAACCGGAGCUAAUACCGGAUAAUAUAUUGAACCGCAUGGUACAAUAGUGAAAGACGGUUUUGCUGUCACUUAUAGAUGGAUCCGCGCCGCAUUAGCUAGUUGGUAAGGUAACGGCCUACCAAGGCAACGAUGCGUAGCCGACCUGAGAGGGUGAUCGGCCACACUGGAACUGAGACACGGUCCAGACUCCUACGGGAGGCAGCAGUAGGGAAUCUUCCGCAAUGGGCGAAAGCCUGACGGAGCAACGCCGCGUGAGUGAUGAAGGUCUUCGGAUCGUAAAACUCUGUUAUUAGGGAAGAACAAAUGUGUAAGUAACUAUGCACGUCUUGACGGUACCUAAUCAGAAAGCCACGGCUAACUACGU